UACCACAGAGAGCUUGCUCUCGUGUGACGAUUGGCGGACGGGUGAUAAUGUCUGGGAAACUGCCUGAUGGAGGGGGAUAACUACUGGAAACGGUAGCUAAUACCGCAUAACGUCGCAAGACCAAAGAGGGGGACCUUCGGGCCUCUUGUCAUCAGAUGUGCCCAGAUGGGAUUAGCUAGUAA
rnacentral:rRNA from 1 species